UACGUAGGGGCGAGCGUUGUCCGGAAUCAUUGGGCGUAAAGCGCGUGUAGGCGGCCCGGUAAGUCCGCUGUGAAAGUCCAGGGCUCAACCCUGGGAUGCCGGUGGAUACUGUCGGGCUCGAGUCCGGAAGAGGCGAGUGGAAUUCCUGGUGUAGCGGGUGAAAUGCGCAGAUAUCAGGAGGAACACCAAUGGCGAAGGCAGCUCGCUGGGACGUGACUGACGCUGAGACGCGAAAGCGUGGGAGCA
rnacentral:rRNA from 1 species